CCUACGGGGGGCUGCAGUGGGGAAUAUUGGACAAUGGGGGGAACCCUGAUCCAGCCAUGCCGCGUGUGUGAAGAAGGCCCUCGGGUUGUAAAGCACUUUCAGUGAGGAAGAACGCCUGGUGGUUAAUACCCAUCAGGAAAGACAUCACUCACAGAAGAAGCACCGGCUAACUCCGUGCCAGCAGCCGCGGUAAUACGGAGGGUGCGAGCGUUAAUCGGAAUUACUGGGCGUAAAGCGCGCGUAGGUGGCUUGAUAAGCCGGUUGUGAAAGCCCCGGGCUCAACCUGGGAACGGCAUCCGGAACUGUCAAGCUAGAGUGCAGGAGAGGAAGGUAGAAUUCCCGGUGUAGCGGUGAAAUGCGUAGAGAUCGGGAGGAAUACCAGUGGCGAAGGCGGCCUUCUGGACUGACACUGACACUGAGGUGCGAAAGCGUGGGUAGCAAACAGGAUUAGAUCCCGAGUAGUC
rnacentral:rRNA from 1 species